ensembl:misc_RNA 7SK 7SK RNA
GGAUGUGAGGGGCACCUGGCUCCAGCAUUUGUCAGCCCACUGAUCAGCAGGGUUGACUUGGCUGAUCUGGUUGGCUAGGUGGUGUGCCCUUCCUCACGAUCUGUGUGUAACCCUCCUGAAGCCGCAUGCUAGGCCAAAGAGAGGUUGGAUCUUCAGUCACGGUGUCUGAGUAGCUGUGCUCCCCCGCUGGAAGCUGCAAACCAACUCUUAAGUUCCAUUUGUAGGAGAAGAUAGAGUGGUCAAGCUUCAGAGACUGCGGACACAUCCCAAGGAGGCACCGCAUGUGGCAGUCAUCUUUG